AUUGAAGACUAGAUGUUGAUGGAAGAAGAUGAUUUGGACCGCGUUAUGCAUCACUUGACUAAGUGACAAAUGAACAAUGUCGAAAAAAAAAUAAUAUGACUUCUCAGAAUAGACAGACUCAAACUAUUGAUUUAUCACAGAAUACUGAUGGCAACUAUCACAAGAUUAUGCAGGGUGUUUCUGAAAGAAGCGGACUUUUAUUUAUCUCCCAGUUCUGCUGAGUUACAUGGAAGUGAUUGAAUAAUAGGAGGUAAAGUAAAUAUCCAUGCAGUCAAUAGGAGACGCCACAGGAAGAAAGGUAGGUGUUAAAUUUAUAAUAACUUAGUAUGUAGGAUAUAAUAUUGAUCUUCAGAUCAUUAUCAACCUCAAAAUAUUCAAAAAUUUGAGGUUAUAUAGCAUGAUUUCCUUAUUUGAUCCAUUUUCUCUGCUUAAGACGAAAGUCUUUUUAACCCCACAAGAAAAUAAAACUCAUCUAAUCAAAAAUAAUUUAUUUCAAUAAAACCUAAACUCUAAAGAAAGCGUUUUACUUUUCUUUACCUUUAAUCAAAUCAAUUUUAUUCUUAUUGCACAAAUCCCUUUUGCGUCCUUUUAAUACAGAGGAAACGGUGGUAAAGGAUCUAAUUCCUCUAAAUCAACAUCAAAAUGCUUCGUUUUUUUAUCAUUUUUCUUCGUCAUCGUCAUUUCAUCAACCUUUUCUUUUAACCCAUCGAUUUCCGCUUGCUGAUGGAGCAUCAAACUUUGCAUAUUCGUCAAUAUAUUCAUAACCGCCCUCAUUUUAUGCCGAAACAAUUGAUUCUCCGCCUUUAAUUCCCCAAUUUCCUUCUCCAAAUCGCUCCCGCUAUAAGCGCUAUCACACAUCGACGAUUUUAAUGAAUCGUAUAAUUUCGAUUUUGAUUUAACAAAUU